rnacentral:rRNA from 1 species
GUGCCUAAUACAUGCAAGUCGAACGCUUUGUGGUUCAACUGAUUUGAAGAGCUUGCUCAGAUAUGACGAUGGACAUUGCAAAGAGUGGCGAACGGGUGAGUAACACGUGGGAAACCUACCUCUUAGCAGGGGAUAACAUUUGGAAACAGAUGCUAAUACCGUAUAACAAUAGCAACCGCAUGGUUGCUACUUAAAAGAUGGUUCUGCUAUCACUAAGAGAUGGUCCCGCGGUGCAUUAGUUAGUUGGUGAGGUAAUGGCUCACCAAGACGAUGAUGCAUAGCCGAGUUGAGAGACUGAUCGGCCACAAUGGGACUGAGACACGGCCCAUACUCCUACGGGAGGCAGCAGUAGGGAAUCUUCCACAAUGGGCGAAAGCCUGAUGGAGCAACGCCGCGUGUGUGAUGAAGGGUUUCGGCUCGUAAAACACUGUUGUAAGAGAAGAAUGACAUUGAGAGUAACUGUUCAAUGUGUGACGGUAUCUUACCAGAAAGGAACGGCUAAAUACGUGCCAGCAGCCGCGGUAAUACGUAUGUUCCAAGCGUUAUCCGGAUUUAUGGGGCGUAAAGCGAGCGCAGACGGUUAUUUAAGUCUGAAGUGAAAGCCCUCAGCUCAACUGAGGAAUUGCUUUGGAAACUGGAUGACUUGAGUGCAGUAUAGGAAAGUGGAACUC